rnacentral:tRNA from 1 species
UGUGGCUUAGUUGGUUAAAGCGCCGGACUAAAGAUACAGAAUCGUGAGUUCGAAUCCCACCA